CAGGCUCGAGCAGAAUACGUGGUAAUCCAUUUUCUCAUCAUACAAAGUUCUGUUGUUCCACUGGCUGCCUUUUCACACUGGAGUUUGUUUUUUGGAAGCCCUCAGAGAAGGAAGAAUCAGACUUCAACUGUCCAGACUCAGGACUGAUGACUCGAGUCAGUAGCUGUGUGAGGUGACAACUAGUGACAACUAAAAUAACAAAUUCCAUUCCCCCGCAUGCUCCAGAGUAGUGGUAUGACCCAAUUUGCAGAUUUCCACAUAGGCUUGCUCUGACUGUUUUCCACCUUUUAGCUCAUCAACCAAGGAACUGGGAGCAGCUGCCACUGAGCCAGACUUCAGGAAUAAAGUCAAUUUUCGCAUAAUCAAUAGUAGAUAAGUUUAAAGGACUGCCAUGGCACAGGAUAUAUGGAUGCGUGGUUAGCCCUGGCAGAACUCAUAGUUAGCAACUGGAUUUCUGGAGCAGUGUCUACGCAAUGUCAUGAAAAAGGCUUCUUCUAUCAGGAAGAAGAAUUCACUAAAGGACCAAUAGAAGAUAAUUUGUUUCUGCUUUUUGCAGCAGUCUAAAGUCUGUUGAUGGCAGCUUCAAAGCAUUUUUUGUUUUUGAUGCAAGUUACCCAAAGUGACACGCCCAGGUUUCGGAAUUCCUUCACACUGUCAUCUAUCCCAGGACAUGAAUCAAAUAUGUUGAUCAUAAAGGUGCAUGAAAUGAUCUGAGAGGGAGAUGCCCUCUUGCCACUUUUCCAAAGUGUUGAUGUAUGUUAAGUACUGAGAUAAUCAUCAAUUCAUCAGUUUUUUUUUUUAAAGUUCUGAGUUUUUACAUGUAAUUUGUUCUUGUGUAUUAACAUGUACAUGUGCUGUAGCCAAAGACUGAUUUGAAGUAAUCGAUAUAAUAUAAUGAAUUAUAUACUUUUUUUUUUGUUACUUGCAUUUUACUUUCAUUGAUUUAUUUUUCAUCAAUGUUGCUGUCUAUGUUCAUAUGUUCAUGUAUCAUAUGGCAAUA